CCUACGGGUGGCAGCAGUGGGGAAUAUUGGGCAAUGGGCGAAAGCCUGACCCAGCGACGCCGUGUGGGCGAUGAAGGCCUUCGGGUUGUAAAGCCCUGUGAGGUGGGAAGAAGGGUCCAGAGGCCAAUACCCUUUGGACCUUGACGGUACCACCAGAGGAAGCACCGGCUAACUCCGUGCCAGCAGCCGCGGUAAUACGGAGGGUGCAAGCGUUGUUCGGAAUUACUGGGCGUAAAGGGCGCGUAGGUGGUUGUGUAAGUCAGGUGGGAAAUCCCGAGGCUCAACCUCGGAACUGCAUCUGAAACUGCACGACUCGAGUACAGCAGAGGGAAACGGAAUUCCUGGUGUAGAGGUGAAAUUCGUAGAUAUCAGGAGGAACACCGGUGGCGAAGGCGGUUUCCUGGGCUGAUACUGACACUGAGGCGCGAAAGCGUGGGGAGCAAACAGGAUUAGAUACCCGAGUAGUCCG
rnacentral:rRNA from 1 species